UACGUAGGUGGCAAGCGUUAUCCGGAUUUAUUGGGCGUAAAGGGAACGCAGGCGGUUCUUUAAGUCUGAUGUGAAAGCCUUCGGCUUAACCGAAGAUGUGCAUUGGAAACUGGGGAACUUGAGUGCAGAAGAGGAGAGUGGAACUCCAUGUGUAGCGGUGAAAUGCGUAGAUAUAUGGAAGAACACCAGUGGCGAAAGCGGCUCUCUGGUCUGUAACUGACGCUGAGGUUCGAAAGCGUGGGUAGCGAACAGG
rnacentral:rRNA from 1 species